rnacentral:rRNA from 1 species
UGGGGGGCCAGGCUUACACAUGCAGUCGAGCGGUACAGGAAUUAGCUUGCUAAUUUGCUGACGAGCGGCGGACGGGUGAGUAACGCGUAGGAAUCUGCCUGGUAGUGGGGGACAACAUGUGGAAACGCAUGCUAAUACCGCAUACGCCCUACGGGGGAAAGGAGGGGAUCUUCGGACCUUUCGCUAUCAGAUGAGCCUGCGUGAGAUUAGCUGGUUGGUGGGGUAAAGGCUCACCAAGGCGACGAUCUCUAGCUGGUCUGAGAGGAUGAUCAGCCACACUGGGACUGAGACACGGCCCAAACUCCUACGGGAGGCAGCAGUGGGGGAAUAUUGGACAAUGGGCGCAAGCCUGAUCCAGCCAUGCCGCGUGUGUGAAGAAGGCCUUCGGGUUGUAAAGCACUUUC